AACGAACGCUGGCGGCAGGCCUCAAACAUGCAAGUCUAGGGGGUGUAGCAAUACAUCACCGGCGGACGGGUGCGUAACGCGUGGGAAUAUACCUAUUGGUUCGGAACAACUGAGGGAAACUUCAGCUAAUACCGAAUGUGCCCGUAAGGGGAAAGAUUUAUCGCCAAUGGAUUAGCCCGCGUAGGAUUAGCUAGUUGGUGGGGUAAUGGCCCACCAAGGCUCCGAUCCUUAGCUGUUCUGAGAGGAAGAUCAGCCACACUGGGACUGAGACACGGCCCAGACUCCUACGGGUGGCAG
rnacentral:rRNA from 1 species